rnacentral:rRNA from 1 species
UACGUAGGGGGCAAGCGUUGUCCGGAUUUAUUGGGCGUAUAGAGCGUGUAGGCGGCCAUGUAGGUCCGUUGUGAAAACUCGAGGCUCAACCUCGAGACGCCGAUGGAAACCAUGUGGCUAGAGUCCGGAAGAGGAGAGUGGAAUUCCUGGUGUAGCGGUGAAAUGCGCAGAUAUCAGGAAGAACACCCGUGGCUAAGGCGGCUCGCUGGGACGGUACUGACGCUGAGACGCGAAAGCGUGGGGAGCAAACAGG